rnacentral:lncRNA from 1 species
UUAUACUUGUAUUUGGUACUACUGAUUGUGUUUUCCUUGAUAAAAUGUAGCAUACUCCAGGAAAAGUAAUACAUUUUCACCCCUUGUUAGAACACUCAUGUAAUUCAAGCAAAUAACACAAACACAGUCUGAAUUUCAGUCUUCUAGACCCGGUUUUCCCCAACAUCAGACUAAUUAGUUUUAUUCCAUCUAGCCAACACCUGCUUGAGAAGAACAUUUAGUGUCAUAAAACAAACCACCCACCAAGAAAUAAGGAAACUGAGAAAAGCCCACACACCAACGUCAUGUUGCCAAGCUCAGCUCUAAAACAAAGCCUUACAACACACCCUGGUGGAUUCUCUUGGAGGAAACUCCAUUUUCUAAUGGAUCCUGAGGAGUUCUGUCUUCUUUUUUACUCCUACUGGUGAUGACAGUGUGCAUUGGUGAUAAGGACUGGACAUUGACCUUGUGAUGAGAAAACAGAAUGGGGAAUGAAGCCUGUCCCUGGAAAUGCUGGACAGCUGAAGCCACGAUGACAAAGGAGAAGAUUAGAGGCAACUGAGACCUAACCAAGUCACGGACCUGGAAGAUGAAAAGAUGGUGGUGUAACAUGGCUAGUACUUCGAAAACUUUGAAGAGCCCUUAGUGAUGCUGUUUGCAGCCCUUCAGUCCUAUUCAACACCUCCAAAGGAAAUG